rnacentral:rRNA from 1 species
UAGAGGUUNAUCCUGGCUCAGGACGAACGCUGGCUGCGUGCUUAACACAUGCAAGUCGAACGCUGAAGCCUGGUGCUUGCACCGGGUGGAUGAGUGGCGAACGGGUGAGUAACACGUGAGUAACCUGCCCCUGACUUCGGGAUAAGCCCGGGAAACUGGGUCUAAUACCGGAUACGACCGUCGGACGCAUGUCUGGUGGUGGAAAGUUUUUUCGGUUGGGGAUGGGCUCGCGGCCUAUCAGUUUGUUGGUGAGGUAAUGGCUCACCAAGACGACGACGGGUAGCCGGCCUGAGAGGGCGACCGGCCACACUGGGACUGAGACACGGCCCAGACUCCUACGGGAGGCAGCAGUGGGGAAUAUUGCACAAUGGGGGAAACCCUGAUGCAGCGACGCAGCGUGCGGGAUGACGGCCUUCGGGUUGUAAACCGCUUUCAGCAGGGAAGAAGCGCAAGUGACGGUACCUGCAGAAGAAGUACCGGCUAACUACAGU